rnacentral:tRNA from 1 species
GACCACGUAGCUCAGUUGGAAGAGCAUUGGGCUAGUAUUCCAAAGGUCGUAGGUUCGAAUCCCACCGUGGCCG